GGUCAGAGCCGGGAGGGCCCUUAGAACCCAGGAGGUCAGAGCCGGGAAGGCCCUUAGAACCCGGGAUGUCAGAGCUGUCAGAGCUGGGAGGGCCCUUAGAACCCAGGAGGUCAGAGCCGAGAGGACCCUUAGAACCCAGGAGGUCAGAGCUGGGAGGGCCCUUAGAACCCAGGAGGUCAGAGCCGGGAGGGCCCUUAGAACCCAGGAGGUCAGAGCCGGGAGGGCCCUUAGAACCCAGGAGGUCAGAGCCGGGAGGGCCCUUAGAACCCAGGGGGUCAGAGCUGGGAUGGCCCUUGGAACAUCAAACAAAAGUCACAAUUAGAAAGGAACUUAGGACAUAGAAAUAAUAGGGCCAAAACACAGAGCCUGGACUGAAAGGAACCUUAAAUGUUAGAACUAGAAGAAAGCUUAGAACAUCAUAGCUGAGAGAUUAUGUAUGCCAUUUAUUACCUAUCUGACCUUGAGAGUACAGUACAGAGAGCGUGGAGACUUGGAUCAGGAAGCUCUGAGUUCAAAUCCAGCCUCCUGUGUCUGCCUUAUAGUUUUCUCAAAUAUAAAAUGAGGAGAAUAGUAGCACCUACCACUUAACUGAGGGACUGCUAGGAGGUGACAUAAUUCAUGGUGUUCAGUCCUGGAGCCUGAAGGACUCAUUUUCCAGAGUCAAGUCUGGCCUCAGACACUUCCUAACUGUGUUAUCCAGGACAAGUCACUUCACCCUGUUUGCCUCAGUUUCCUCAUCAGUAAAAUGUGCUGGAGAAGGAAAUGGCAAAUCACUCCAAUAUUUCUGCCAGGAAGUGGGGUCAUCAAAAGCCAGAUACAACUGGAAACCCUGUAUGCCUGACAUAUAGGAAAUGCUUGUUCCUCUCAAUCUAAUCUGUAAAAGGAGGGGUUGGAUGAGAGGCUCUUCCAUUUCCUAAUCCUUUUAAGCAAUAUGAUAGGGCACAAAAUUCUAGAUUUUAAUUUGGAUGACGAAGAUCCCUUGGUCACAUGUUGUUACCUCACUUAUGAUCUGAAGAUCCAGGUUUUAAGGCAUCCUACGUUCCAUCUGUAGAGCAAGAAAGGACCUUAGGGAUCAUCUGCUGCAUUUUUUUUUAAAAGAUAGGGAUCUGGGACCCAGUUGUAAAAAAUUACUUGCCCAGCACACAAUUUAAACGGUCAUUUCAGGAGGUAAGGAGAGACACACUGGCGAUAGAAUGUUCUAAGUAUGUUCCUUGAGGACUGAGACUUUUUAUUUGGGUCUCCUCAUCUUUGGGACUUUAAUUCACAGAAUGUCAAGGAAUAAGAGAGAGUUGGGUGGCUUUAUAUCCCCUUAGGAUUCAGUGUGCAGCCUGAGAUUUUAAGCAAAAAAUUUGUUUUAGCUAGUCCACGUGAUCUCAUAUGGAAUUUACUGAUGCUGACUGCUCUUCUGGAGAUUAAAAUGAAAUAGUAAUUGACACCAAAAGUAUUGAAAUCUAUAUUCAAACUCAUGUAGUACACUCAUAGGUAGAAACAUUAACCCAGUGAUUAAUGAAAAACCUUUAAUCCAUAUAUUUGAUCUGGCCUAACAUCCUUGAUUUUUUAGAGGAGAAUCCUGCAUCCCAAAAAUGUUAGUAAGUGAUUUCCCAGGUUAUAAAGCAGCUCCAAACUUGUUUUUUCUUGUAAGGCAAUUGGGAUUGAGUGAAUUGCCCAGGAUCACAUAGCUAGGAAGUAUCUGAGGCAGAUUUGAACUUGGGUCCUCUUGACUCAGGGUCAGUAUGUUAUCCACUAUGCCAUCUAGAUGACCCAGCUUCAAAUUUGGAAGCCAGAUCUCCCAACUCUUUCCACUAUUGCACUGUCUCCAACUAUUUUAUAAAGUGAAAAAUAGAGAUCCCAGGAAGGAUUUGGCCAAGAUCAAAAGAUCAAUAAACAUUCAAACAACAAAUAUUUAAGAACAGCUUUUAAAAAGGCAAAAGGCAGCCCCCAACCUCAAGCAAGAUACAUACAGGAUAAAUUAUCAACUGAGGGGAACAGUACCAAAAUUAAGAGGCUUCCUAGACAGUGGGAUCGUGGUUGAAACUUAAAGUGAAGCUCUCUAGGUCAGGAGGCAGAGAGGAGUGGGCAGAAUAUUCCAGCCAGAGCCAAUUGUUGGAGUUCUUUGAGGAAGAGCAGGGAAUCCAGUGUUACUGGGCUUAAGGUAGGAGGCUGAGAAGGUUGAAGGGGGCCAUGUUGAGAAGGCCAUUUAAUGUCAAAGGGUGUUUUAUAUUAGAUCCUGGAGGUAAGAAGGAGCUGCUGGAGUUUAUUGCCUAGGUGUGACCUUCGGACCUCAGCUUUAGGAAAACUACUUUGGGAGGAGUGGGGAAGAGUCCUGAGAUGGGCAAGAUACCCUAUUUCCCCCAAAGCAGGCUGCCACUAGAGUAUAGAAUGAGGUAAUGAGGGUCUGCCCCAGAUAGGGCAGUGUUGGGGCAGAGGUGGUGCAAAGAGAAAUCGACAGUCCCUGACGCCAGCUUGGAUGCAGCGGGUGUGUGAAGCACCCAUUUAGGUUGGAGAA